rnacentral:rRNA from 1 species
UACGAGGGGGGCGAGCGUUGUUCGGAAUUAUUGGGCGUAAAGGGCGCGUAGGCGGUGCGGUAAGUCACCUGUGAAACCUCUGGGCUUAACUCAGAGCCUGCAGGCGAAACUGCCGUGCUGGAGUGUGGGAGAGGUGCGUGGAAUUCCCGGUGUAGCGGUGAAAUGCGCAGAUAUCAGGAGGAACACCGGUGGCGAAGGCGGGUCUCUGGGCCGUAACUGACGCUGAGGAGCGAAAGCGUGGGGAGCAAACAGG